rnacentral:pre_miRNA from 1 species
GCUUAGAGAUGACCAAAGAAAAUAGCUUCUUGAGAUGGAACCUAUUCUUGAUGUAGAUGUUGUGAA